GCUGGAACAAAGAAAAGCACAAAGAUCUCUGUCUGGAUGGGACUUUUAAUUGUUGAAGUCACUUCCUUUGUGGAGAAGCCUGGAUGAGUUGAAGAGGUGUUCCCCUGGUCCCAGGGAUUCUAAUGGUUCCACUAAAAGAAGCAUGGGAAUGCCCUACACCUGCUGUUAUUCCUGCUUCCUUCCCACUUUUUCAUCUUUCAAGGUUACUUGUCAAUUACAAAAGAAAAGAAAACCAUAACAGCAGAGUAAUCUGGCAGAUGCCAAUUUAACCAAGGGAUUGAAGCUGAUGUCUUCAACAAUGAGACUAACCCCCAUCUUUGCUUCCUGAUGUGAGACUUCCCCAUGGCGCAACAGUCCUAACCCAGCAGAAACCUCAGACAAGUCCAAACCCAGGGACAUUAUGCAAAUUGACUGGCCUGUACUCUUCAAAAAUGUCAAGGUCAUGAAAAACAAGAAAAGGCUGAGGAACUAUUUUAAAUUAAAGGAUAAUAAAGAAACACCAUAACAACAGCAAUGUGUGAUCCUGGAUUGGAUUCUGAACAACCCCCAA
rnacentral:lncRNA from 10 species